AUAAGAGGUCCCGCCUGCCCUGUGACAAUGUUCAACGGCCGCGGUAUUUUGACCGUGCAAAGGUAGCGUAAUCACUUGUCUUUUAAAUGAAGACCCGUAUGAAAGGCACCACGAGAGUUUGACUGUCUCUACUCUCUAAUCAAUGAAAUUGAUCUUCUCGUGCAGAAGCGAGUAUGAUAACAUAAGACGAGAAGACCCUAUGGAGCUUCAAAUACAUAAAUUAAUUAUGUACAUAUUAAUAAUCCCAGGACAUAAACAAAAAAUAUAAUACUUCUAAUUUAACUAUUUUUGGUUGGGGUGACCAAGGGGAAAAAUGAAUCCCCCUUAUCGACCGAGUAUUCAAAUACUUAAAAGUUAGAAUUACAAUUCUAACCGAUAAAAAUUUUAUCGAAAAAUGACCCAGGAUUUUCCUGAUCAAUGAACCAAGUUACCCUAGGGAUAACAGCGCAAUCCUUUUUCAGAGUUCCUAUCGACAAAAGGGUUUACGACCUCGAUGUUGGAUCAGGACAUCCUAAUGGUGCAACCGCUAUUAAGGGUUCGUUUGUUCAACGAUUAAUAGUCC
rnacentral:rRNA from 1 species